rnacentral:rRNA from 1 species
CCCAGACAGCCAGGAUGUUGGCUUAGAAGCAGCCAUCAUUUAAAGAAAGCGUAAUAGCUCACUGGUCGAGUCGGCCUGCGCGGAAGAUGUAACGGGGCUAAACCAUGCACCGAAGCUGCGGCAGCGACGCUGUGCGUUGUUGGGUAGGGGAGCGUUCUGUAAGCCUGUGAAGGUGGCCUGUGAGGGUUGCUGGAGGUAUCAGAAGUGCGAAUGCUGACAUAAGUAACGAUAAAGCGGGUGAAAAGCCCGCUCGCCGGAAGACCAAGGGUUCCUGUCCAACGUUAAUCGGGGCAGGGUGAGUCGACCCCUAAGGCGAGGCCGAAAGGCGUAGUCGAUGGGAAACGGGUUAAUAUUCCCGUA